GACGAACGCUGGCGGCGUGCCUAAUACAUGCAAGUAGAACGCUGAAGAGAGGAGCUUGCUCUUCUUGGAUGAGUUGCGAACGGGUGAGUAACGCGUAGGUAACCUGCCUUGUAGCGGGGGAUAACUAUUGGAAACGAUAGCUAAUACCGCAUAACAAUGGAUGACACAUGUCAUUUAUUUGAAAGGGGCAAUUGCUCCACUACAAGAUGGACCUGCGUUGUAUUAGCUAGUAGGUGAGGUAACGGCUCACCUAGGCGACGAUACAUAGCCGACCUGAGAGGGUGAUCGGCCACACUGGGACUGAGACACGGCCCAGACUCCUACGGGAGGCAGCAGUAGGGAAUCUUCGGCAAUGGGGGCAACCCUGACCGAGCAACGCCGCGUGAGUGAAGAAGGUUUUCGGAUCGUAAAGCUCUGUUGUAAGUCAAGAACGAGUGUGAGAGUGGAAAGUUCACACUGUGACGGUAGCUUACCAGAAAGGGACGGCUAACUACGUGCCAGCAGCCGCGGUAAUACGUAGGUCCCGAGCGUUGUCCGGAUUUAUUGCGCGUAAAGCGAGCGCAGGCGGUUUGAUUAGUCUGAAGUUUAAGGCUGUGGCUCAACCAUAGUUCGCUUUGGAAACUGUCAAACUUGAGUGCAGAAGGGGAGAGUGGAAUUCCAUGUGUAGCGGUGAAAUGCGUAGAUAUAUGGAGGAACACCGGUGGCGAAAGCGGCUCUCUGGUCUGUAACUGACGCUGAGGCUCGAAAGCGUGGGGAGCGAACAGGAUUAGAUACCCUGGUAGUCCACGCCGUAAACGAUGAGUGCUAGGUGUUGGAUCCUUUCCGGGAUUCAGUGCCGCAGCUAACGCAUUAAGCACUCCGCCUGGGGAGUACGACCGCAAGGUUGAAACUCAAAGGAAUUGACGGGGGCCCGCACAAGCGGUGGAGCAUGUGGUUUAAUUCGAAGCAACGCGAAGAACCUUACCAGGUCUUGACAUCCCGAUGCUAUUUCUAGAGAUAGAAAGUUACUUCGGUACAUCGGUGACAGGUGGUGCAUGGUUGUCGUCAGCUCGUGUCGUGAGAUGUUGGGUUAAGUCCCGCAACGAGCGCAACCCCUAUUGUUAGUUGCCAUCAUUCAGUUGGGCACUCUAGCGAGACUGCCGGUAAUAAACCGGAGGAAGGUGGGGAUGACGUCAAAUCAUCAUGCCCCUUAUGACCUGGGCUACACACGUGCUACAAUGGUUGGUACAACGAGUUGCGAGUCGGUGACGGCAAGCUAAUCUCUUAAAGCCAAUCUCAGUUCGGAUUGUAGGCUGCAACUCGCCUACAUGAAGUCGGAAUCGCUAGUAAUCGCGGAUCAGCACGCCGCGGUGAAUACGUUCCCGGGCCU
rnacentral:rRNA from 1 species